rnacentral:rRNA from 1 species
ACGCACGCUGGCGGCGUGCCUAAUACAUGCAAGUCGAACGCUUCUUUCCUCCCGAGUGCUUGCACUCAAUUGGAAAGAGGAGUGGCGGACGGGUGAGUAACACGUGGGUAACCUACCCAUCAGAGGGGGAUAACACUUGGAAACAGGUGCUAAUACCGCAUAACAGUUUAUGCCGCAUGGCAUAAGAGUGAAAGGCGCUUUCGGGUGUCGCUGAUGGAUGGACCCGCGGUGCAUUAGCUAGUUGGUGAGGUAACGGCUCACCAAGGCCACGAUGCAUAGCCGACCUGAGAGGGUGAUCGGCCACACUGGGACUGAGACACGGCCCAGACUCCUACGGGAGGCAGCAGUAGGGAAUCUUCGGCAAUGGACGAAAGUCUGACCGAGCAACGCCGCGUGAGUGAAGAAGGUGUUCGGAUCGUAAAACUCUGUUGUUAGAGAAGAACAAGGACGUUAGUAACUGAACGUCCCCUGACGGUAUCUAACCAGAAAGCCACGGCUAACUACGUG